AUUACGCCCCGACUUGAGUGGAGCUCUUUUUAUGCGAAGCGAAGCGGAGCAUAAAAAAGCGGGAACGGAAGGCGGAUAAAGGC
rnacentral:misc_RNA from 1 species